GGGCUUGUAGCUCAGCCUGGUUUAGAGCGCCAGUCUUAUAAGCUGGACGUCGCGGGUUCGAAUCCCGCCAGGCCCA
rnacentral:tRNA from 1 species